CUGCCCCUUCUCGGGGUCAUGAUGGGCAGCAAGAUGGCGUCUGCCAGUAGGGUCGUUCAGGUAGUGAAACCACACACUCCAUUAAUAAGGUUUCCUGACAGAAGAGACAAUCGUAAACCCAAUGUAUCCGAAGCUUUGAGAUCAGCAGGGCUACCAUCUCACUCUUCUAUAAUUUCACAACAUUCUAAGGGAAGUAAAUCACCAGAUUUGCUGAUGUAUCAGGAUCCACCAGACACUGCAGAAAUAAUAAAAACAUUACCUCAGAAAUACAGAAGGAAACUUGUGUCUCAAGAAGAAAUUGAAUUUAUCCAACGUGGAGGUCCUGAAUAACCAUGGUGGCUGCUGUUUGUCAUCAGACAAUAGAAUUGUCUUUACAAUAAAGGACUUCCAAAAUGACAGAUGAGAAACUGUAUACUAAACACCUUUAAUAAAUACUAUGAAAAAAUGAAAUAUAGAAAAUUUAGAUGGACACUUGUAUUUCCUAAUUUAUGUAUCUUGGUCAGCUUCUCCACAAGCUUACCUAAUUAUUUAUACACUUUAUACUUAUUAAAGUAUACAUU